AGCUAAACUCUCCCUGAGCCUAGACUUCAAUUCUCCAAGUCUCUGGAACAACCUUCACACAUCACCAAACAAGCUUCAUCACAUAAGCACCAAACCCGUGAAACUCGUCGCACAAAACCGCGAAACUAUGUCGUAAAACUAUGUCACACACACCCUUAGAAAGCUCUCAAUAAUGUAUCUCUAUGCCUCAGCUCUCCUCCUUUCCAAAACUUCCUAGCUCCUCCUUAUAUAGCCAAACCGAUACUACAAGAAAACAUCCUUUUUUAGACCCCCAAAAAAGUCCUAAAAUGGUCCCAAAUCGCUAUUUACGACAACUUUGGAACUAUCUCAAUUGGUCGCUAAAAAACGUUCGCAAAAUAAAAUGGUCACAAGAACGAUGGUUAUUUGUGACCCCUUUGUGACUAAUUUAUGUG